GUGGGGAAUAUUGGACAAUGGGGGGAACCCUGAUCCAGCCAUGCCGCGUGGAGGAAGACUGCCCUCUGGGUUGUAAACUCCUUUUAUAUGGGAAGAACCGUCCUCAUUAAUGAGUGACCUGACGGUACCAUAGGAAUAAGCACCGGCUAACUCCGUGCCAGCAGCCGCGGUAAUACGGAGGGUGCAAGCGUUAUCCGGAUUCACUGGGUUUAAAGGGUGCGUAGGCGGAUAAAUAAGUCAGUGGUGAAAUCAACGGGCUCAACCUGUUAACUGCCAUUGAUACUGUGUAUCUUGAAUAUGAGAGAGGUAGGCGGAAUGUUGCAUGUAGCGGUGAAAUGCUUAGAUAUGCUACGGAACACCGAUUGCGAAGGCAGCUUACUAUUUCGUAAUUGACGCUGAGGCACGAAAGCGUGGGUAGCGAACAGGAUUAGAUACCCUGGUAGUCC
rnacentral:rRNA from 1 species